rnacentral:tRNA from 1 species
GGAUUAAUACCUAAGUGGCUAUUAGGUUCGAUCUUGAAAAUCGAUGCAUUUAUAAAAUGUCGUAGGUUCGAAUCCUACUUAAUCCG